rnacentral:lncRNA from 1 species
AUGUUUGCUAUUGAGUUAGGGGUAGUUAUGUUUGCUAUUGAGUUAGGGGUAGUUAUGUUUGCUAUUGAGUUAGGGGUAGUUAUGUUUGCUAUUGAGUUAGGGGUAGUUAUGUUUGCUAUUGAGUUAGGGGUAGUUAUGUUUGCUAUUGAGUUAGGGGUAGUUAUGUUUGCUAUUGAGUUAGGGGUAGUUAUGUUUGCUAUUGAGUUAGGGGUAGUUAUGUUUGCUAUUGAGUUAGGGGUAGUUAUGUUUGCUAUUGAGUUAGGGGUAGUUAUGUUUGCUAUUGAGUUAGGGGUAGUUAUGUUUGCUAUUGAGUUAGGGGUAGUUAUGUUUGCUAUUGAGUUAGGGGUAGUUAUGUUUGCUAUUGAGUUAGGGGUAGUUAUGUUUGCUAUUGAGUUAGGGGUAGUUAUGUUUGCUAUUGAGUUAGGGGUAGUUAUGUUUGCUAUUGAGUUAGGGGUAGUUAUGUUUGCUAUUGAGUUAGGGGUAGUUAUGUUUGCUAUUGAGUUAGGGGUAGUUAUGUUUGCUAUUGAGUUAGGGGUAGUUAUGUUUGCUAUUGAGUUAGGGGUAGUUAUGUUUGCUAUUGAGUUAGGGGUAGUUAUGUUUGCUAUUGAGUUAGGGGUAGUUAUGUUUGUUAUUGAGUUAGGGGUAGUUAUGUUUGCUAUUGAGUUAGGGGUAGUUAUGUUUGCUAUUGAGUUAGGGGUAGUUAUGUUUGCUAUUGAGUUAGGGGUAGUUAUGUUUGCUAUUGAGUUAGGGGUAGUUAUGUUUGCUAUUGAGUUAGGGGUAGUUAUGUUUGCUAUUGAGUUAGGGGUAGUUAUGUUUGCUAUUGAGUUAGGGGUAGUUAUGUUUGCUAUUGAGUUAGGGGUAGUUAUGUUUGCUAUUGAGUUAGGGGUAGUUAUGUUUGCUAUUGAGUUAGGGGUAGUUAUGUUUGUUAUUGAGUUAGGGGUAGUUAUGUUUGUUAUUGAGUUAGGGGUAGUUAUGUUUGCUAUUGAGUUAGGGGUAGUUAUGUUUGCUAUUGAGUUAGGGGGUAGUUAUGUUUGUGAUUGA